rnacentral:rRNA from 1 species
UACAGAGGUCUCAAGCGUUGUUCGGAAUCACUGGGCGUAAAGGGGUGCGUAGGUGGCGUGGAGAGUCAGAUGUGAAAUCCGGAGGCUCAACCUCCGAAUUGCAUCCGAUACUCCCAUGCUAGAGAACUGGAGGGGAGUCUGGAAUUCUCGGGUGUAGCAGUGAAAUGCGUAGAUAUCGAGAGGAACACUAGUGGCGAAGGCGAGACUCUGGACAGGUUUCUGACACUGAUGCACGAAGGUCAGGGGGAGCAAACGGG